rnacentral:sRNA from 1 species
UACUGUUGUGAACUGUA